rnacentral:rRNA from 1 species
UACGGAGGGUGCAAGCGUUAAUCGGAAUUACUGGGCGUAAAGCGCACGCAGGUGGCUGAGUCAGUCGAUUGUGAAAGCCCUGGGCUUAACCUGGGAAUUGCAGUCGAUACUACUCAGCUAGAGUAUGGGAGAGGGUAGUGGAAUUCCCGGUGUAGCGGUGAAAUGCGUAGAUAUCAAGAGGAACACCUGCGGCGAAGGCGGGUUGCUGGGCCGACACUGACGCUGAGGCGCGAAAGCUAGGGGAGCAAACGGG